AAGUCGUAACAAGGUUUCCGUAGGUGAACCUGCGGAAGGAUCAUUAACACUUUUAAUAUGAAGAUUAAAUACUUCAAACUAACGUGAACUUCAAACAAUCGCCCUAUAAUUAAUACUUAUAGGCAAUAAGAAUGGUAAUAAUUGAUUUCCAUUGCAUUGCUUUAAUUUGCAUUGCAUUGCAAUUAUUACUGUUCGAUCCAUUUUUUUACACCAUUAUAAUCCACAUUGUAUUUGACUUGUAAUUCUGUAUAUAGCUUUUUAAUUAAUUAGUUAUAUAUAAUGUUAAUAUAAUAAACAUAAAUACAAAAACAACUCUUAACAAUGGAUAUCUUGGUUCUCGU
rnacentral:misc_RNA from 1 species